rnacentral:rRNA from 1 species
GACGAACGCUGGCGGCGUGCUUAACACAUGCAAGUCGAACGGAAAGGCCCUGCGUUUUUGGUGUGCUCGAGGGGCGAACGGGUGAGUAACACGUGAGUAACCUGCCCUUGUCUUUGGGGGGACUUCAGGAAACUGGGGCUACGACCGUAUAGGAGCUCCUGCUGCGUUGUGGGGGGGGGAAAGUUUCUGCUUGUGGGGAUGGACUCGCGGAUGAUCAACUUGUUGGUUGGCGAGUGGCUUACCAAGGCUUUGGCGGGUAGCCGGCCGGAGAGGGUGAACGGCCUCAUUGCGACUGCGAUACGGCGCAGACUCCAAUGGGAGGCAGCAGUGGGGAAUAUUGUCCAAUGGGCGCAAGCCUGAUGAAACAACGUCGCGUGCGGGAUGACGGCCUUUGGGUUGUAAACAGCUUUAGCCUGUGACGAAGCGUGAGUGACGGUAACGGGUAAAGAAGCACCGGCUAACUACGUG